GAAUUAUUUCCAUUAUAGCAGCUCACAAAGCACCAUAAUGCUUAUGUGACCAUCUGCUGCCCCAAACGACAAUUGGGUAGUGUUCAUAAAGAACAGUGAAUUUAGAACUGGUUUUAAGGGACUGAAUUUCUGUCGUCUGCAAACCACUCAUUAUGAGAACCCCCAAAACCAACAGAGGCGCUGCAUCAGUCAAAACUAGGGGGAAUCUGCAGAUUCAUGCAGUCAUUUUUAAAAUAAANNNNNNNNNNNNNNNNNNNNAGAGUGUCACAGUUGAUGCUGUGACACUUGGGGGUGUGUUCCUAGUUUUUUGUUUCUCCUGUGGUUCUGUGUGUGUGUGUGUGUGUGUGUUAGUUAUGCCUGGCAGUGAGCUGAUCACCUGGUGGAGUUGCACACCUGCUGGCAAUCCUCAUCAGUGCCUGGCCUUAAGAAGUGGGGUUUCCUGAGACUUGUCGCCAGAUUAUUCCUUAUCCAUGAUUCCUGAGUGUUUUGUGUUGCCUGGAGGAUCUUUUGGAGCGCUGGUUGCCACUGUUCAGGACCUGCCUGCCCCUGCUCCCACCUGCCCUUUUCAAGCACAGUUCCACUUCUACUCAGUUCUUUGUGAAUAAAACCCUUGACCUCAACCUGCCUAGAGUGAUCUGAAUCCGCACCCCGGUCCAAAGUCCUACCAAACACAACAGAGAGGACAAAAUUUAGUGUUAGUCUUAGCAAUAAAAUCUGAGUGCCUUGGUGAGAUCUAUCAGUUUGAGAGUGCUUAAAGAAUAUUGAGUACAUGUGAUGUGAUCUUCUAAGGUUAAAUCAGAGAAGGGAAGAUCAUGCUGAGGAUUAAGAUGAGAUCUGCAUGCAUAUUCACACCUGAGAAACCCGUAAAAGCUAUUAACAGAACUUCUUCCAACAUUACAUUAAUAUAAGUGAAAACCAUUAAUGCACCAGUGAAUUGUGUGAGGAGUCUUACGUUGCCUUGAGGAUGCGCCUUUUAAAGCCAUUGAAGAGCAGCUGAGUGGAGGAUUUCCCAGAAGACUCUGGGAUGCUGGAUCUUUACAUCGAAUGUGAAACUGAAUCCCUGCUAGCAUAGCUUUGAUACUUUGCAUUGAAGAUGAUAGAAUCAAGUAAAAAACAAUAAAUGCACAAAAUGUGAAUUAUUUCCACUAUAGCAGCUCACAAAACACCAUAAUGCUUCUGUGACCAUCUGCUGCCCCAAACGACAAUUGGGUAGUGUUCAGUGAAUUUAGAACUGGUUUUAAGGGACUGAAUUUCUGUCGUCUGCAAACCACUCAUUAUGAGAACCCCCAAAACCAACAGAGGCGCUGCAUCAGUCAAAACUAGGGGGAAUCUGCAGAUUCAUGCAGUCAUUUUUAAAAUAAAAUGCUGGUCCAUCAUCACAUAACAAAGACUAGAACUGCAUAUCUGAGUAACAGCCUUAGUCUAAGACGCAGUAUAUUAAGAUUUUAACAGAUUUAGCCAGAACCAGCAACGUGAUAUGGACGACCUUGAGGGAGAAUGCGCAUAGCAAAGUUAGAGAAACUCUUCUAGAGAGAAUG
rnacentral:lncRNA from 15 species